rnacentral:rRNA from 1 species
AUGAGCGGCAGACGGGUGAGUAACGCGUGGGAAUCUACCCAUUUCUACGGGAUAACACGGAGAAAUUUGUGCUAAUACCGUAUACGUCCUUAGGGAGAAAGAUUUAUCGGAGAUGGAUGAGCCCGCGUUGGAUUAGCUAGUUGGUAGGGUAAAGGCUUACCAAGGCGACGAUCCAUAGCUGGUCUGAGAGGAUGAUCAGCCACACUGGGACUGAGACACGGCCCAGACUCCUACGGGAGGCAGCAGUGGGGAAUAUUGGACAAUGGGGGCAACCCUGAUCCAGCCAUGCCGCGUGAGUGAAGAAGGCCUUAGGGUUGUAAAGCUCUUUCGCCGGUGAAGAUAAUGACGGUAACCGGAGAAGAAGCCCCGGCUAACUUCGUGCCAGCAGCCGCGGUAAUACGAAGGGGGCUAGCGUUGUUCGGAUUUACUGGGCGUAAAGCGCAUGUAGGCGGAUAUUUAAGUCAGAGGUGAAAUCCCAGGGCUCAACCUUGGAACUGCCUUUGAUACUGGAUGUCUUGAGUAU